AAGAUAAGCAGUUUUGCUUUAGCCAUGUGUUCCUACCAUUAUGUGCUGCAGCCUCACCAAAGACUCAAAUCAACAGGACCUACCAAUCAGGAACUAGGACCUCGAAAACUAUUCCUCCACAAGUCGACCUUGAGACAAGAAUUAGAAUGCAAGAAAUUUAUUUGGGAGGAGAAGAAAGCACCAGUAAUGGAAGUGAGGAACUGAAAUAGGGAAAUAUGCAGUCAAUAAAGGGAGCAGAAUCAAGUCAACUGAGCUUAAGCCCAAUACGAAAAUUCUGACAGCAGAGAGAAAAUAACCUUUCUUCUGUUUUGAAACACAAACUUGAUUUUGUGGGAUUUUUGUGCAGGAUGAAGUCAGGUAUCCUAAUUUUAUUUUCCUGGAAAUGCUGAAUGAUUUCUUCAACUCUACAAUAGCAGAGGCCUAUGCCACUUUUAGUUGAGCAUGGGAAAUUUAUAUUGCACACAAUAUAUGUACUGCCAAUUUGCCUUUAUAAUGGUAUAUAAAAUUGUAUUGAGUAAGCAAUCUUGGAGAAUUUUCUCUAUUCCAUAUUUAGGAAGAAACAUUUGAUUUUGUGCUGUCAGAUUGAUGUUAACAAUAUUAGAAUAUUAAAAUGUAUGCUGUCAUCUUUA